GGAUAUAGCUCAGUUGGUAAGGUGCUUGCCUUGCCUGCACGAGUCCCUAGGUUCAAUCCCCAGCACCA
rnacentral:tRNA from 1 species